ACGCGCCAGCCACCACGUCUCGAGUGCAGGCCCAGUCCACUGUAGAUGCGCUUCCGGCGGAGCCGAGGCCGGAAGCGGAAGAAGGGGACACAGACCUGCGUCCAAGCUGUGCCACCUGAGACGUGGGCGGUCCCAGUGACCGGGAGCCGGAGCUCGAACGGGACGGGCGAACAGAAGCGCGGAGGGCUUCGCAGCGUCGGCGUCUGUGCGUGGGCCAAACAUCAGGGCCUCGACCAGGGAUACAAGGGCAACCGCUAACUAGAUUCCUGAUUCCUGAUGGCUGGCGGCGGCUGACACCAAAGUGCCCGUGGGAGAGCAAGAUCGCGAGGCACGAGCUGUGAGGGCACACCGCCUCUCUUGGUCCUCCGAAGCAAAGACACUGAUGCUCCCAGAAGCUGCGGAAGGACCUGGGUAUUUCUCCAGGCUGGAGAUGACUUCCAGCACCGCCACCAUGUUCCGGAUCUGUGGAAAUAAAAAGCCAUUUGUCAGGUCCCUGUCCUU
rnacentral:lncRNA from 1 species